AUUGAACGCUGGCGGCAGGCCUAACACAUGCAAGUCGAACGAGUGGCGGACGGGUGAGUAAUGUCUGGGAAACUGCCUGAUGGAGGGGGAUAACUACUGGAAACGGUAGCUAAUACCGCAUACCCUCAGAUGUGCCCAGAUGGGAUUAGCUUGUUGGUGGGGUAACGGCUCACCAAGGCGAGGAUCCCUAGCUGGUCUGAGGGGAUGACCGGCCAAGCGGGAACUGAGACACGGUCCAACCUCCUACGGGAGGCAGCGGUGGGGAAUAUUGCACAAUGAGGGAAAGCCUGAUGCAGCCAUGCCGGGUGUAUGAAGAAGGCCUUCGGGUUUUAAAGUACUUUCAGCGGGGAGGCGUUACCCGCAGAAGAAGCACCGGCUAACUCCGUGCCAGCAGCCGCGGUAAUUC
rnacentral:rRNA from 1 species